UUUCAAUCCAAGCAAGCUCCAGCAGGGGGCUCAGAGCGACUUCUCCUUUCAUAAAACCUUUUGUAUUUCUCAUCUCCAUUAUGCCUAGCAGAGGAUGUGGACUGAAUUCUGGUCAUGUCAGGAAUAACAGCCACCACAGGAGAUAAGGCUCUUGCCAUACCAGUAUGUGUCUGCCUGGCUUACCUUUCCAAACGGGUGAUUUGAGACAGUUAUUAAUACUGUGUGAACCUCCAUUUUCUCAGUUAUUAAAUGAUAGUUAUUAAUACCCAAUCUGGAGGGUUAUUAGGGCAACUAGAGGAGUUUGUAUAUGUAGAACUACUAAGAGUACUCAGUAAAUAGAGGUUGGUAUUAAUAUUUGCAUGGUAGGAUGUUCGAGUUUUUAAUGCUGUCACAUGUUUCAUCUACACAGAGGUGGCUAAGGAGUGAUGUUUGAUGAUUGAGGGAAAAUGUCUGUUGCUUAAUGAUGGAUAUUGUGAACCAGUUACCCAGACACUCCAGUAUUCAAAGAGAAAUUGAGAUCAAGCUCUUUUUUUUUUUUUUAAAGAUUUUAUUUAUUUAUUUGACAGAGACAGCCAGCGAGAGAGGGAACACAAGCAGGGGGAGUGGGAGAGGAAGAAGCAGGCUCCCAGCGGAGGAGCCUGAUGAGGGGCUCGAUCCCAGAACACCGUGAUCACGCCCUGAGCUGAAGGCAGACGCUUAACGACUGAGCCACCCAGCUGCCCCUGAGGUCAAGCUCUUAAUUUAAACUCAAAAGCUUCUCUGAAGUGGUCUUCUUAGCAAGAAAUGGGGAAUAUUCUGGAAACUCUCACUAUCCUGUUCACAGGAUGGCAGCCCUUGAUGUGAAUCAGGUGUGUGGUCAUCUUUCUUGGGACCCUUUCUGUCUUCAUGAGCGAAAAAUUGAGGAGGCAAGGAUGGUGGCUGGGUUACUGAUGGAUCCUUCUCAGGUAAGUGGAAAGCUGACCUUUCUUCAGAAUAGGCUUAUUUGUCAGGUGGCCGUAUCUCCUUGUAAUGUCCCCAGGCUUCUUACAGCGAUUAAUGACCCUGCUUAAGCAAUGAGUCUCAGGUCAAUUUCUUCAGGACUCAUGCCAUCUCAGAAUAUAUAGGGAUUACACUGGGUAUGAUUCUUUUAUCUCAGUAUUCAUUAAUUCUUUCUGAUCCUCAGUCUUGCUUGUUGGCUUAUCGUUUUGCUAAGUGUUAUGAUAGAUACCGAGGAAUGAUAUGAAGGUAUCUAAUCUCAUGGAAUGUGUGUGUUACUAUGGAAAUAAUUCAUCUGUUAGUAGAUUUUACAGUGUUGCACUGUGUUCAGUGCUAACUACAGCUUAUAAGUAGAGGACGAAUAAAGCAAGAAGAGCCCACA
rnacentral:lncRNA from 1 species